AUGUUUUGUGGGGUGCGCCAGGGCGAGCCCUUCUCCCGGUUCUUGUUUAACAUGGUUGUCGAUGCGCCGGCGGCCCUCGAUAAGGCCAAGGCGGCGGGUCACAUUAAGGGGAUAGUUUCACAUCUAGUUGGAGGCAACGGGGUCUCCCUUCUCCAAUAUGCGGACGACACCAUUAUCAUGGUGGAGGGGUCGGAGAGUGAUAUUUCAAACCUGAAGUUCCUCUUAUUGUGCUUCCGGCAGAUGUCCGGCCUUCGGGUGAACUUCGACAAGAGUGAGGUAAUGCUCUUGGGUUACGCCCAAGACGAGCGACAGAGCAUAGCGGAUCGGCUUAACUACCAGCUUGGGUGUUUCCCCACGACAUAUCUGGGGAUACCCAUUAGUGACGACAGGCUUACGGUGUCCGAGCUCGCCCCACAGUGGGGAAGCUCCAGCACCGUAUCGAGCCCUGGCAGGGUCGGUGGCUUUCGAAAGCGGCCCGUACGGUGCUCAUUAACUCGUCCCUCUCUAGCCUCCUAUUAUUCAUCAUGA
rnacentral:rRNA from 1 species